CUGGGUCCUGCUGAUCAGCCCUGGAGCUGAGUGCCCGGUGAAAGGCGGUGCUCAGGGACCUGCUCCAAGAUCAUGUCUGGAGCAGCAGGCAAGCAGUUCAUAAGUAGCAUUUAAUAGGAUCCCUACUUUCAUUGAGCCCCUGCUGUGCAGCCCUGCAUUACGUCAUUAUCUGAGGUGCGAAGAACCGUACAUAGUUGGUGAAGGUAUUUCUGCAGGGAGAAAGCUGCUGGAUUUUGACCCAGAAUCAGUGAAAGAAAGGCAAGAGCCUGGAAUUUUCUGGCAGAAGUGAACUAUCAGUACUUCUUGUUCCAAUAUUUACUUCCACGCUCAUUUCCAUGUCUCAAUGCUGUUCUUUGUGAAACAAAAUGAAUGUUUUUAA